rnacentral:rRNA from 1 species
UUUGAGAGUUUGAUCCUGGCUCAGGAUAAACGCUGGCGGUGUGGAUAAGGCAUGCAAGUCAAACGGUCGUUCGUGCCUCACUGCGUUCGGCGCAAACUCAUUUAAACAUACAAACAUACAAACAUUUAAACAUCAGGGAAUUCAAAUUUUGUUUAAAUGUUAAAAUGCUUAAAUGUUAAAAUGAAGCGAGUGCCGAGCAUAGCGAGGCGCGAGCGAUAGUGGCGAACGGGUUAAUAACACGUAGAUACAUACCACCGAGACAGGCAUAAUCCCGCGAAAGCGGGACUAAUACCUGAUGGCCCCCGUUCAAGUUUUGCUUUGCAAAAUAAGCGGGGUAAAGGAAACCGUAAGGUAACCGCUCAGUGAUUGGUCUGCGGCUUAUCAGCUAGUUGGUAGGGUAAUGGCCUACCAAGGCAAUGACGGGUAGGCGGAGUGAGAGCUUGUCCGCCAACAAGGGCACUGAGACACGGGCCCUACUCCUACGGGAGGCAGCAGUCGAGAAUAUUGGUCAAUGGGGGAAACCCUGAACCAGCGACACCGCGUGCUCGAAGAAGCUCUUCGGAGCGUAAAAAGCUUUUCUCCGUGAGGAACCCCGUUUUAGAGGGGUGACAGUAACGGAGGAAUAAGGGGUGACUAAACUCGUGCCAGCAGUAGCGGUAAUACGAGUGCCCCGAGCGUUAUCCGAAUUUACUGGGCGUAAAGAGUCCGUAGGCGUCCCGCUAAGUUUUCUGUUAAAUCUCCCGGGCUCAACCUGGGAACUGCGGAAAAAACUGGCGAGAUAGAGGACGUUAGAGGCUGAUGGAAUACUCGGUGGAGGAGUGAAAUCCGUUGAUAUCGAGCAGAACGCCAAAAGCGAAGGCAAUCAGCUGGGGCGAUCCUGACGCUGAGGGACGAAAGCGUGGGGAGCAAAAAGGA